CGUCCACGGCCUGCGGGCAGAUGAAGUGGACGUGGGUGUCGAUGGCGCCGGCGGUGAGGAUCUUGCCGUUGCCGGCGAUGAUCUCGGUCUCGGGGCCGAUGACGAGGUCGGGGUGGACGCCGUCCAUGGUGUCGGGGUUGCCGGCCUUGCCGAUGCCGGUGAUCCGGCCGUCGCGCAGUCCUAUGUCGGCCUUGACGAUGCCCCAGUGGUCGAGGAUGACGGCGCCGGUGAUCACGGUGUCGGGGGCGCCCUCGGCGCGGGUGGCGCGGGACUGGCCCAUCGACUCGCGGAUG
rnacentral:sRNA from 1 species